AUUCCCCCAUUAACGGCGAGUGAACGGGGNAUURGCCCMGCAUCGAAGCCUAUGAUCGUUUGAUUGUAAGGCAAUGUGAUGUUUUGGCUUGUGCCUAGGGUUGCUGAUCAACUCGAAGUCCAAUAUUGAAUGUGGCUUUUGUAUAUAGCCCAUAGCGGGUGAUAGGCCCGUACGAGUUGAUUGUCAGAUAUGUUAAGCAGCCUCUAGAUGCAUAUGCCAUGGAGUCGGAUUGCUUGAGAAUGCAGUCCAAAGUUGUUGGUAAACUCCAUCAAAGGCUAAAUACCUGCACGAGUCCGAUAGCGAACAAGUACCGUGAGGGAAAGUUGAAAAGUACUCUGAAGAAGAGAGUAAAUAGUGCGUGAAACCACAUGAAGGUAAGCGGGUGGAGUCCAGCUGCYUGCCUUGAGAAUUUAGCUGGCUUGUGAAUUAUGGAUGUUGUGAGCUGCCAUGUAUUGUUCACUUUUAAUGAGUGAGUUAGGGUAAAACCUAAUCCAUGUUCUGUCUUGUAGGCAGUAUGGCUUUACAUGUGCGUAUGCUUGCAGGCCAGUGUCAUUUCUCUUGUGCUAACAUCACAAUCAAUAUGGCUGCUAGUAUAUGAUGUAUCCAACCGUUUAGUGAUGGGCCUCGAAGUUUCAUUCUAAAUGGGAUAGCAGGUGGUGUAUAUGAGCCAACAUUGUUUGGUUUAUGUAUGCUUAAAAAUGGUUACGGCCAGCUGAUCAUCAUGUUGUUGUUGCAUAACAUUUAACUAUGCAGUAUAUUGGUCAUAGCGUGUGUAAUAGCGCAAUGAAUCAUGUUCGAGUGAUCCAAAUGGCAUGUGUGAUAGGCUAUGCGCAAGUGUGCCUAUUCAUAUGUUUGUUUGUGCACUUGCUUGAUGUAAUUGUGUUGUACGUGUGAAUUAUGGUGCUGU
rnacentral:rRNA from 1 species